rnacentral:rRNA from 1 species
GACGAACGCUGGCGGCGUGCCUAAUACAUGCAAGUCGAACGCAGUGGGGACGGGUGAGUAACACGUGGGUAACCUCCCAUCAGAGGGGAUAACACUUGGCAACAGGUGCUAAAACCGAUACUGAUGGAUGGAACCCCGGUGCAUAUGCUAGUAGGUGGGGUAACGGCUUACCAAGGACCAGAUGCAUAGCCGACCUGAGAUGGGGAUCGGCCACACUGGGACUGAGACACGGCCCAGACUCCUACGGGAGGCAGCAGUAGGGAAUAUUCGGCAAGGGACGAAAGUCUGACCGAGCAACGCCGCGUGAGUGAAGAAGGUUUUCGGAUCGUAAAACUCUGUUGUUAGAGAAGCGGUAUCUAACCAGAAAGCCACGGCUAACUACGUGCCAGCAGCCGCGGUAAUUC